UACGUAGGGUGCGAGCGUUGUCCGGAUUUAUUGGGCGUAAAGAGCUCGUAGGCGGUUUGUCGCGUCGGCCGUGAAAUCUCCACGCUUAACGUGGAGCGUGCGGUCGAUACGGGCAGACUUGAGUUCGGUAGGGGAGACUGGAAUUCCUGGUGUAGCGGUGAAAUGCGCAGAUAUCAGGAGGAACACCGGUGGCGAAGGCGGGACUCUGGGCCGAUACUGACGCUGAGGAGCGAAAGCGUGGGGAGCAAACAGG
rnacentral:rRNA from 1 species